GCCAGACUCCUACGGGAGGCAGCAGUGGGGAAUAUUGCACAAUGGGGGAAACCCUGAUGCAGCGACGCCGCGUGAGUGAAGAAGUAUUUCGGUAUGUAAAGCUCUCUCAGCAGGGAAGAAAAUGACGGUACCUGAUUAAGAAGCCCCGGCUAACUACGUGCCAGCAGCCGCGGUAAUACGUAGGGGGCAAGCGUUAUCCGGAUUUACUGGGUGUAAAGGGAGCGUAGACGGUGAUGCAAGUCAGAAGUGAAAGCCCGGGGCUCAACUCCGGGACUGCUUUUGAAACUGUGUGACUGGAGUGCAGGAGAGGUAAGCGGAAUUCCUGGUGUAGCGGUGAAAUGCGUAGAUAUCAGGAGGAACACCAGUGGCGAAGGCGGCUUACUGGACUGUAACUGACGUUGAGGCUCGAAAGCGUGGGGAGCAAACAGGAUUAGAUACCCCAGUAC
rnacentral:rRNA from 1 species